GACGAAGGACCCAAGCGUUAUCCGGAUUCAUUGGGUUUAAAGGGUGCGUAGGCGGGUUGAUAAGUCAGUGGUGAAAGCCCGUCGCUUAACGGCGGAACUGCCAUUGAUACUGCUAGUCUUGAGUAUGGUUGAGGUGGGCGGAAUGUGUCAUGUAGCGGUGAAAUGCUUAGAUAUGACCCAGAACACCAAUUGCGAAGGCAGCUCGCUAAGCCAUAACUGACGCUGAGGCACGAAAGCGUGGGGAGCAAACAGG
rnacentral:rRNA from 1 species